rnacentral:rRNA from 1 species
UACGUAGGGACCAAGCGUUGUCCGGAAUCAUUGGGCGUAAAGAGCGUGUAGGCGGCUUGUUAAGUCUUGCGUGAAAUCUCGGGGCUCAACCCCGAGCGGUCGUGAGAAACUGGCAGGCUAGAGUGCGGGAGAGGAGAGUGGAAUUCCUGGUGUAGCGGUGAAAUGCGCAGACAUCAGGAAGAACACCCGUGGCGAAGGCGGCUCUCUGGAACGCAACUGACGCUGAGACGCGAAAGCGUGGGGAGCAAACAGG